rnacentral:rRNA from 1 species
AGAGUUUGAUCCUGGCUCAGGAUGAACGCUAGCUACAGGCUUAACACAUGCAAGUCGAGGGGAAACGACAUCGAAAGCUUGCUUUUGAUGGGCGUCGACCGGCGCACGGGUGAGUAACGCGUAUCCAACCUGCCCACCACUUGGGGAUAACCUUGCGAAAGUAAGACUAAUACCCAAUGAUAUCCCACGAAGACAUCUGAAUGGGAUUAAAGAUUUAUCGGUGAUGGAUGGGGAUGCGUCUGAUUAGCUUGUUGGCGGGGUAACGGCCCACCAAGGCAACGAUCAGUAGGGGUUCUGAGAGGAAGGUCCCCCACAUUGGAACUGAGACACGGUCCAAACUCCUACGGGAGGCAGCAGUGAGGAAUAUUGGUCAAUGGACGAGAGUCUGAACCAGCCAAGUAGCGUGCAGGAUGACGGCCCUAUGGGUUGUAAACUGCUUUUAUAAGGGAAUAAAGUGAGUCUCGUGAGACUUUUUGCAUGUACCUUAUGAAUAAGGACCGGCUAAUUCCGUGCCAGCAGCCGCGGUAAUACGGACGGUCCGGGCGUUAUCCGGAUUUAUUGGGUUUAAAGGGAGCGUAGGCCGGAGAUUAAGCGUGUUGUGAAAUGUAGACGCUCAACGUCUGCACUGCAGCGCGAACUGGUUUCCUUGAGUACGCACAAAGUGGGCGGAAUUCGUGGUGUAGCGGUGAAAUGCUUAGAUAUCACGAAGAACUCCGAUUGCGAAGGCAGCUCACUGGAGCGCAACUGACGCUGAAGCUCGAAAGUGCGGGUAUCGAACAGGAUUAGAUACCCUGGUAGUCCGCACGGUAAACGAUGGAUGCCCGCUGUUGGUCUGAAUAGGUCAGCGGCCAAGCGAAAGCAUUAAGCAUCCCACCUGGGGAGUACGCCGGCAACGGUGAAAC